GUACACGCUGUGACUAGCAUAUCAAUAAGCGGAGGAAAAGAAACUAACUAGGAUUCCCUCAGUAACGGCGAGUGAAGCGGGAAGAGCUCAAAUUUGAAAUCUUCAAGGUUCUACCUUGACGAAUUGUAGUUUAAAGAAGUGUUUUCUGUUGGAGUUUUGGUAAAAGUUCUUUGGAAUAGGACAUCAUAGAGGGUGAGAAUCCCGUAUUUGACCAUUAUUUCCAGCUUUGUGAUACACUUUCAAAGAGUCGGAUUGUUUGGGAAUGCAGUCCAAAAUGGGUGGUAAAUUUCAUCUAAAGCUAAAUAUUGGCGAGAGACCGAUAGCGAACAAGUACCGUGAGGGAAAGAUGAAAAGAACUUUGAAAAGAGAGUUAAACAGUACGUGAAAUUGUCAAAAGGGAAGCGUUUGACACCAGUGUUGUUUUCUCGAAAAUCAAUUAAAAAAGGCAGGACUAUUGUGUUGUAUUGACUUUAUCAGCUUUCUGCACUCUUUUCUUGUCUUUUUUAAUGCACUUUUCGUUUAACAAGUCAACAUCAAUUUCUUUUGUUGUAAAAGGGUCAUUGGAAGGUGGCUUUCUUUUCGGAGAAAGUGUUUAUAGCCUUUGGAUCUCUGCAAUCGGAGAGACUUGAGGUCUGCAGCGUAGAUCCUUCGGGGUUAGAUACAUUUGUGCUAAGUUAUAGCCUUUCAUAGACAACUUGUUGACUAUGAUCAGUCAUGUAGCUUACUCGCUUAUGCUAUUUUACCUACGCUUAGGAUGUUGAAGACUCUACAGAGAUA
rnacentral:rRNA from 1 species